AUUGAACGCUGGCGGCAGGCUUAACACAUGCAAGUCGAGCGGAGAUGAGGUGCUUGCACCUUAUCUUAGCGGCGGACGGGUGAGUAAUGCUUAGGAAUCUGCCUAUUAGUGGGGGACAACAUUCCGAAAGGAAUGCUAAUACCGCAUACGUCCUACGGGAGAAAGCAGGGGAUCUUCGGACCUUCAGCUAAUAGAUGAGCCUAAGUCGGAUUAGCUAGUUGGUGGGGUAAAGGCCUACCAAGGCGACGAUCUGUAGCGGGUCUGAGAGGAUGAUCCGCCACACUGGGACUGAGACACGGCCCAGACUCCUACGGGAGGCAGCAGUGGGGAAUAUUGGACAAUGGGGGAAACCCUGAUCCAGCCAUGCCGCGUGUGUGAAGAAGGCCUUAUGGUUGUAAAGCACUUUAAGCGAGGAGGAGGCUACUGAGACUAAUACUCUUGGAUAGUGGACGUUACUCGCAGAAUAAGCACCGGCUAACUCUGUGCCAGCCGCCGCCUAA
rnacentral:rRNA from 1 species